rnacentral:rRNA from 1 species
CGGGGGAAAAAUUUAUUGCUAUUAGAUGAGCCUAUAUUAGAUUAGCUAGUUGGUGGAGUAAUAGCCUACCAAGGCAAUGAUCUAUAGCUGAUCUGAGAGGAUGAUCAGCCACACUGGAACUGAGAUACGGUCCAGACUCCUACGGGAGGCAGCAGUGGGGAAUAUUGGACAAUGGGCGAAAGCCUGAUCCAGCCAUGCCGCAUGAGUGAAGAAGGCCUUUGGGUUGUAAAGCUCUUUUAGUGAGGAAGAUAAUGACGGUACUCACAGAAGAAGUCCUGGCUAACUCCGUGCCAGCAGCCGCGGUAAUACGGAGAGGGCUAGCGUUAUUCGGAAUUAUUGGGCGUAAAGGGCGCGUAGGCUGAUUAAUAAGUUAAAAGUGAAAUCCCGAGGCUUAACCUUGGAAUUGCUUUUAAAACUAUUAAUCUAGAGAUUGAAAGAGGAUAGAGGAAUUCCUGAUGUAGAGGUAAAAUUCGUAAAUAUUAGGAGGAACACCAGUGGCGAAGGCGUCUAUCUGGUUCAAAUCUGACGCUGAAGCGCGAAGGCGUGGGGAGCAAACAGGAUUAGAUACCCUGGUAGUCCACGCUGUAAACGAUGAAUGUUAAAUAUGGGAAGUUUACUUUCUGUAUUACAGCU